AACGAACGCUGGCGGCAGGUUUAACACAUGCAAGUCGAGCGAACCCUUCGGGGUUAGCGGCGGACGGGUGAGUAACGCGUGGGAACGUGCCCUUUUCUACGGAAUAGCCUCGGGAAACUGAGAGUAAUACCGUAUACGCCCUUUUGGGGAAAGAUUUAUCGGAGAAGGAUCGGCCCGCGUUGGAUUAGGUAGUUGGUGGGGUAAUGGCCUACCAAGCCGACGGUCCAUAGCUGGUUUGAGAGGAUGAUCAGCCACACUGGGACUGAGACACGGCCCAGACUCCUACGGGAGGCAGCAAUGGGGAAUCUUAGACAAUGGGGGCAACCCUGAUCUAGCCAUGCCGCGUGAGUGAUGAAGGCCUUAGGGUUGUAAAGCUCUUUCAGCUGGGAAGAUAAUGACGGUACCAGCAGAAGAAGCCCCGGCUAACUCCGUGCCAGCCGCCGCGGUAA
rnacentral:rRNA from 1 species